rnacentral:rRNA from 1 species
ACGAACGCUGGCGGCGUGCUUAACACAUGCAAGUCGAACGGAAAGGCCCUGCUUUUGUGGGGUGCUCGAGUGGCGAACGGGUGAGUAACACGUGAGUAACCUGCCCUUGACUUUGGGAUAACUUCAGGAAACUGGGGCUAAUACCGGAUAGGAGCUCCUGCUGCAUGGUGGGGGUUGGAAAGUUUCGGCGGUUGGGGAUGGACUCGCGGCUUAUCAGCUUGUUGGUGGGGUAGUGGCUUACCAAGGCUUUGACGGGUAGCCGGCCUGAGAGGGUGACCGGCCACAUUGGGACUGAGAUACGGCCCAGACUCCUACGGGAGGCAGCAGUGGGGAAUAUUGCACAAUGGGCGGAAGCCUGAUGCAGCAACGCCGCGUGCGGGAUGACGGCCUUCGGGUUGUAAACCGCUUUCGCCUGUGAGGAAGCGUGAGUGACGGUAAUGGGUAAAGAAGCACCGGCUAACUACGUG